rnacentral:rRNA from 1 species
UACGUAGGGUGCGAGCGUUGUCCGGAAUUACUGGGCGUAAAGAGCUCGUAGGUGGUUUGUCGCGUUGUUCGUGAAAACUCACAGCUCAACUGUGGGCGUGCGGGCGAUACGGGCAGACUGGAGUACUGCAGGGGAGACUGGAAUUCCUGGUGUAGCGGUGGAAUGCGCAGAUAUCAGGAGGAACACCUGAGGUGAAGACGGGUUGCUGGGCCGACACUGACGCUGAAGCGCGAAAGCCAGGGGAGCAAACGGG